AUAGGGUAUCAUUUAGAUUUUGACAACACUUUGGCUAAAGCAAUACUUUUGAAACAGUAUGGUGCCUGAAACGUGCCUGAUCCGAUAGUCUAGCUUUAAGUAAAUGAGCAAACGACCACAUUAAAGGACGUAUUUCUUAUUGCAGAGGCACAUCCCAUUGCCAGUUUUGCUUUUGGCACUUUGUCCGAGUUUAACGUUAGCUUGCUUGCUACUUGCUGCCAUUGACUGAGACGACAAUGCGAUUGUAACUCUGGUGAAGACGGCACCCAACCCUAUUCAUUACCGACAACUACAUGACGACAAGGCUGGAGUGGAUUCCAUGAAUUUCCAUGCUACAUACAAAAUGCUCCAAUAUGAAGUUAUGAGGAUAUUUCUCGCCUGAACUGUUGAGAGAACCUUGGUCCAAUGCCCCGUUUAUGCAUGUACCUGCUCAUCGCUACAUCAUCCACUGUCAGUUUGGUAGAAUGCCAACAGGAACACACUCUACUCCAGAACAAUGUCAAGUUGCAGCUUCUUUUCACUUCAGAGUCCACCUGCUGAGCUCACAAUAACAGCAGCUGUGCGCUACCAGAAGGCCAGCUUUAGCUGAGGCUAAGGCAUUUCCUCAUUAUCCCCCUGAUAAUGUUUUUGAACAACGAGUGAGUUGAAUAUAACAUUAAUUUAAUAGCUAGCCAGUUGGUUAGGUAAUUUAAGAUGAUGCCUGUCUUACUUGCUAA